GCGCCUCUACAGGAGAAAGGCGGGAAACAUUCACAGGCACUCGCCUUAUGCGCCUAGGCGUGUGCCUUGUUCCAGGCGCAAGACUAGAAAGGCGUGUCUUUUUUAUUUCUACAUUCAGCAAGUACUUCCAUUGACAAAAAGCACAACCACCCAACUCAAAAUUUGUUGAUCUAGAAGUUUUCAAAAUUAGUAUCGUUGGUGAUAACUAGUCACCAAAAUCUCAUCAAACUAACAUACUCAGGAUUACAAACCUCUUAUAUUUUCAUUUUCAACAUUACCACUCAUUAUCUUUUUCAAAAAAAAAAAGUUAAUACUCCUUUAGUUCUUAAAGGUGAGGGAAAUGAUGAAGAUAUUGAUUUUGAAGAUGAAUAUUAAGAGGAUGAAGGUGUAGAAAAAGAUGAAGAAGAUAUAGUUACUUUAUAAUUUCUUAACUUUAGUUAUGAAAGAUUAAAAGACUAUUAAAGUUUUAAUAAUUUAGUACUUUAAUGCUUAUUUGUUAUAAUUAUUUUUAGUUUUAUUUUAUUUGAAAUUUGAUGAAAUAUUUACGUUUGACUUUUAUGAAUUUUUUUUUGCGCCUCACCUCGCUUAGGCGUACGCCUGCGCCUUUGGUGCCUUAGUGCACCUUAAGCCUUUAAUAACUAUUUCAUAACUUACAAAUUUACUGCUGAUAUGAUGUAGGAGAAUUACAUGCGAGCUCUCAAUUUUAAUAUCUAGGUCAAGUUGUGUGGUACUUGUAGUUCCUUUAUGUUGCAAAAAUGUUUCCAAUUUGAAAAGGCUUGUUAACUUAUUCUUUUAUGAAAUUGCAUUAAAUGCUUGAAUUCCCAUCUAACAUGUCAAAUCUGUAGAUUUAGUCUUGAAUUUAUUCGUUUAAAAUGUUAGUACUAAUUAACGUGGGAAUAAAGUGUAUUGUGGGACAUUGCUUAAUAACUUCUAUUUUGCUCAUGGACAAAUUUUUGAGACACGUAAAAUGGGGAAGUUGACUACUAUCCUGGGAUGAAGUACAAAUUUUCCUUAGGCAUCUCUACUCUGUCUCAUUGUUUGCGUGAAAUUUCACAGAAAAAUUCAACAUUUUGUUAUUAUGUCCUCUUGAUUUUAGCAUGCGUAUGUUCUGUAGCUGAUAGUAGCAUAUUUACUAAGAUCAUCAACAACGCACACUAGUGGCUCUAAAGCAUAGGAGAGUGUGGCCAGGAAGAAUGGAAGGGGGGCUUGGAGGGGCCCUGGUAUAUAUUUAUAAUUUUUGUAAUUUAAAAAAAUUGCAGCAGUAAAUUUUUGUGAAUACCCUCCCAACCACCCACACCACACA
rnacentral:misc_RNA from 1 species